rnacentral:tRNA from 1 species
CGGGAUGUAGCGCAGCCUGGUAGCGCGCUACUUGGGAGGUAGAGGUCCCGGGUUCGAAUCCCGGCAUUCCGA